UACGUAGGGGGCUAGCGUUGUCCGGAUUUAUUGGGCGUAAAGAGCGUGUAGGCGGUUUGUCGCGUCUGCUGUGAAAACCUCAGGCUCAACCUGGGGCUUGCAGUGGGUACGGGCAGACUAGAGUGCGGUAGGGGUGACUGGAAUUCCUGGUGUAGCGGUGGAAUGCGCAGAUAUCAGGAGGAACACCGAUGGCGAAGGCAGGUCACUGGGCCGCAACUGACGCUGAGGAGCGAAAGCAUGGGGAGCGAACAGG
rnacentral:rRNA from 1 species